rnacentral:rRNA from 1 species
UACGAAGGGGGCUAGCGUUGUUCGGAUUUACUGGGCGUAAAGGGCGCGUAGGCGGCGUAACAAGUCACUUGUGAAAUCUCCGGGCUUAACCCGGAGCGGCCAAGUGAUACUGUUGUGCUAGAGUGCGGAAGGGGCUACUGGAAUUCUCGGUGUAGCGGUGAAAUGCGUAGAUAUCGGGAAGAACACCGGUGGCGAAAGCGCCUUGCUGGGUCUGCACUGACACUGAGGGACGAAAGCUAGGGGAGCGAAAGGG